rnacentral:rRNA from 1 species
UACGGAGGGUGCGAGCGUUGUCCGGAUUUAUUGGGUUUAAAGGGUGCGUAGGCGGGCCCUUAAGUCAGUGGUGAAAGCCCGCGGCUCAACCGCGGAACCGCCAUUGAUACUGAGGGCCUUGAGUACCGUUGAGGCAGGCGGAAUUUAUGGUGUAGCGGUGAAAUGCAUAGAUACCAUAAAGAACACCGAUAGCGUAGGCAGCUUGCUGGACGGUAACUGACGCUGAGGCACGAAAGCAUGGGUAGCGAACAGG